GGGCCUCUAGCUCAGUUGGCAGAGCAGCGUCCUUUUAAGUCGCGGGUCGUGGGUUCGAUCCCCACGGGGCCCACCA
rnacentral:tRNA from 1 species